CAGCAGGGUGGGAGGGAGAUGCUUGGGGUCAGGAGGGCAUCUUAGUAGUAUCUCCUAUCCUCCCACCUGGG
rnacentral:miRNA from 1 species